rnacentral:rRNA from 1 species
GCGUAUAUUAAAGUUGUUGCGGUUAAAAAGCUCGUAGUUGGAUUUCUGUCGAAAAUGGGCGGUCCUCACUACGUGGGUGUAUUGUUUCAGUUUCGGCAUCCUCAUGGGGAACGUUGCUGCGCUUGAUUGCGUGGCGCGGUAUCCAUGACUUUUACUUUGAGGAAAUUAGAGUGUUCACGGCAGGCAAUCGCCUUGAAUAUAUUAGCAUGGAAUAAUAAUAUAGGAUCUUGGUUCUAUUUUGUUGGUUUCUAGAGCUAAGAUAAUGAUUAAUAGGGAUAAUUGGGGGUCUUUGUAUCAUGGCGUCAGAGGUGGAAUUCUUGGAUUGCCAUGCGACAAACUACUGCGAAAGCAUUGACCAAGGAUGUUUUCAUUGAUCAAGAACGAAAGAAGGGGAUCGAAGACGAUUAGAUACCGUCGUAGUCUUUACCAUAAACUAUGCCGACUAGAGAUUGGUGGUCGCUCCUUUUUUGGCUCCAUCAGCAUCUUAUGAGAAAUCAAAGUUUUUGGGUUCCGGGGGGAGUAUGGUCGCAAGUCUGAAACUUAAAG